rnacentral:rRNA from 1 species
CAGUAGCCGCGGUAAUACGGAGGGGGCUAGCGUUGUUCGGAAUUACUGGGCGUAAAGCGCACGUAGGCGGCUUGGUAAGUUAGAGGUGAAAGCCUGGAGCUCAACUCCAGAAUUGCCUUUAAGACUGCCGAGCUAGUAGGUGAGAGAGGUAAGUGGAAUUCCGAGUGUAGAGGUGAAAUUCGUAGAUAUUCGGAAGAACACCAGUGGCGAAGGCGGCUUACUGGCUCAUUCUAGACGCUGAGGUGCGAAAGCGUGGGGAGCAAACAGGAUUAGAGACCCGCGUAGUCCCUGUCUCUUAUAC